rnacentral:rRNA from 1 species
CCUACGGGAGGCAGCAGUGAGGAAUAUUGGUCAAUGGACGAGAGUCUGAACCAGCCAAGUAGCGUGAAGGAUGACUGCCCUAUGGGUUGUAAACUUCUUUUAUAUGGGAAUAAAACAGGGUAUGCAUACCCUCUUGUAUGUACCAUAUGAAUAAGGAUCGGCUAACUCCGUGCCAGCAGCCGCGGUAAUACGGAGGAUCCGAGCGUUAUCCGGAUUUAUUGGGUUUAAAGGGAGCGUAGGUGGAUUGUUAAGUCAGUUGUGAAAGUUUGCGGCUCAAACGUAAAAUUGCAGUUGAAACUGGCAGUCUUGAGUACAGGAGAGGUGGGCGGAAUUCGUGGUGUAGCGGUGAAAGGCUUAGAUAUCACGAAGAACUCCGAUUGCGAAGGCAGCUCACUGGACUGCAACUGACACUGAUGCUCGAAAGUGUGGGUAUCAAACAGGAUUAGAUACCCCAGUAGUC